AACGUAGGACGCAAGCGUUAUCCGGAAUUACUGGGCGUAAAGCGUGCGCAGGCGGUUUUGUAAGCCAGAUGUGAAAUCCCCGGGCUUAACCUGGGAAUGGCAUUUGGGACUGCAAGGCUGGAGUGUGGCAGAGGAGACUGGAAUUCCUGGUGUAGCAGUGAAAUGCGUAGAUAUCAGGAGGAAUACCGAUGGCGAAGGCAGGUCUCUGGGCUGACACUGACGCUCAUGCACGAAAGCGUGGGGAGCAAACAGG
rnacentral:rRNA from 1 species